rnacentral:rRNA from 1 species
UUACCCGGGGUGGGGAAUAGCAUAUCAAUAAGCGGAGGAGAAGAAACCAACAGGGAUUGCCCUAGUAACGGCGAGUGAAGCGGCAACAGCUCAAAUUUGAAAUCUGGCUCUUUUAGAGUCCGAGUUGUAAUUUGCAGAGGGCGCUUUGGCUUUGGCAGCGGUCCAAGUUCCUUGGAACAGGACGUCACAGAGGGUGAGAAUCCCGUACGUGGUCGCUGGCUAUUGCCGUGUAAAGCCCCUUCGACGAGUCGAGUUGUUUGGGAAUGCAGCUCUAAAUGGGAGGUACAUUUCUUCUAAAGCUAAAUAUUGGCCAGAGACCGAUAGCGCACAAGUAGAGUGAUCGAAAGAUGAAAAGCACUUUGGAAAGAGAGUCAAACAGCACGUGAAAUUGUUGAAAGGGAAGCGCUUGCAGCCAGACUUGCUUGCAGUUGCUCAUCCGGGCUUUUGCCCGGUGCACUCUUCUGCAGGCAGGCCAGCAUCAGUUUGGGCGGUAGGAUAAAGGUCUCUGUCACGUACCUCUCUUCGGGGAGGCCUUAUAGGGGAGACGACAUACUACCAGCCUAGACUGAGGUCCGCGCAUCUGCUAGGAUGCUGGCGUAAUGGCUGUAAGCGGCCCGUCUUGAAACACGGACCAAGGAGUCUAACAUCUAUGCGAGUGUUUGGGUGUCAAGCCCGAGCGCGUAAUGAAAGUGAACGGAGGUAGGAACCCGCAAGGGUGCACUAUCGACCGAUCCUGAUGUCUUCGGAAGGAUUUGAGUAAGAGCAUGGCUGUUGGGACCCGAAAGAUGGUGAACUAUGCUUGAAUAGGGUGAAGCCAGAGGAAACUCUGGUGGAGGCUCGCAGCGGUUCUGACGUGCAAAUCGAUCGUCAAAUUUGGGCAUAGGGGCGAAAGACUAAUCGACUUCAAAUCCCGGU